rnacentral:rRNA from 1 species
GACGAACGCUGGCGGCGUGCCUAAUACAUGCAAGUCGAACGAAGCUGUUUUAACUGGUGCUUGCACCGACUUAAACAACUGAGUGGCGAACGGGUGAGUAACACAUGGGUAACCUGCCCCAAAGCGGGGGAUAACAUUUGGAAACAGAUGCUAAUACCGCAUAAUCACAGAAACCACAUGGUUUCUGUGUCAAAGAUGGUUUCGGCUAUCACUUUGGGAUGGACCCGCGGCGUAUUAGCUAGUUGGUAAGGUAAUGGCUUACCAAGGCAAUGAGACGUAGGCGAACUGAGAGGUGGUUCGGCCACAUUGGGACUGAGACACGGCCCAAACUCCUACGGGAGGCAGCAGUAGGGAAUCUUCCACAAUGGACGAAAGUCUGAUGGGGCAACGCCGCGUGAGUGAAGAAGGUUUUCGGAUCGUAAAACUCUGUUGUCAGAGAAGAACGUGUGCGAGAGUAACUGUUCGUGCAGUGACGGUAUCUGGCCAGAAAGCCACGGCUAACUACGUGCCAGCCGCCGCAGUAA